CAGCAGGAAACUUUUAUCUUGCUAUGUUUGCUCUUGCUUAAGUCUUAUGUUAUAUAUUGAUGUGUACAUUCUAAAAAGAUUAACGAAAUUUGAGCGCAAAUAUAAACAACUGCUGUCCCUACUUCGUUCUAAGCUUUAAAUGCCUAUCUAUAUAUGCGGGUUUUUUUUUAAUUUAAAUUAUCGGAUGGCAUAAUGUCGCGGAAUUUCAUUGAAUUAUUAGUUUGAUUUCAAUUUAUAUAUGCACAAAGGAUGACCUGAUGAUCACCAAAGAAAUAACAGAACUUGCAACACGAAAAGAAGGAGAUAUAAUCAAGAUGAGCAAAUGUAGGCAGUUUUAACCGAUCCAUAAUUUAUUCCAGGGUAUGAGUUAUGCUGAACUCAAAACAUAUAUCAGACUAUAGAAAAUUGAAAGAACAGAUGCCAGGAUCCGUAUAAGUUUUUGAAAGAAGAUUUCAUGUUCUUGGAGUUCCAUCUAUAGAUCCGCUAAUAAGCCAGCCCCUGGAAACAUUACAGAUUCUAUGUUUGUUAGAACUACAAUGUUAAAAUUUGUCCAAUUGGCCGCAUAUUUAUAAAUUAUGCAUUAAUUGCACAAUCAUUGAUACUUUCCCUUUGGACACACCGAGCAC
rnacentral:lncRNA from 1 species